GACGAACGCUGGCGGCGUGCUUAACACAUGCAAGUCGAGCGGUAAGGCCCUUUCGGGGGUACACGAGCGGCGAACGGGUGAGUAACACGUGGGUGACCUGCCCUCAGCUCUGGGAUAAGCCUGGGAAACCGGGUCUAAUACUGGAUAUGACUCCAUGACGCAUGUUGUGGGGUGGAAAGCCUUGUGCGGCUGAGGAUGGGCCCGCGGCCUAUCAGCUUGUUGGUGGGGUGANGGCCUACCAAGGCGACGACGGGUAGCCGGCCUGAGAGGGCGACCGGCCACACUGGGACUGAGACACGGCCCAGACUCCUACGGGAGGCAGCAGUGGGGAAUAUUGGGCAAUGGGCGCAAGCCUGACCCAGCGACGCCGCGUGGGUGAUGAAGGCC
rnacentral:rRNA from 1 species